ACGGGAGGCAGCAGUGAGGAAUAUUGGUCAAUGGGCGAGAGCCUGAACCAGCCAAGUAGCGUGAAGGAUGACUGCCCUAUGGGUUGUAAACUUCUUUUGUUCGGGAAUAAAGUGCGGGACGUGUCCCGCUUUGCAUGUACCGUUCGAAUAAGCAUCGGCUAAUUCCGUGCCAGCAGCCGCGGUAAUACGGAAGAUGCGAGCGUUAUCCGGAUUUAUUGGGUUUAAAGGGAGCGUAGGCGGUCCUUUAAGUCAGCGGUCAAAUGUCAGCGCCCAACGCUGGCCUGCCGUUGAUACUGGAGGACUUGAAUACACACAAGGAAGGUGGAAUUCGUCGUGUAGCGGUGAAAUGCUUAGAUAUGACGAAGAACACCGAUUGCGUAGGCAGCAGACCAGGCCGUAAAUGACGCUCAUGCACGAAAGUGCGGGGAUCGAACAGGAUUAGAUACCCUGGUA
rnacentral:rRNA from 1 species